rnacentral:rRNA from 1 species
UGGGGAAUAUUGGACAAUGGGCGAAAGCCUGAUCCAGCCAUGCCGCGUGUGUGAAGAAGGCCUUUUGGUUGUAAAGCACUUUAAGCGAGGAGGAGGCUACUUAGAAUAAUACUCUAGGAUAGUGGACGUUACUCGCAGAAUAAGCACCGGCUAACUCUGUGCCAGCAGCCGCGGUAAUACAGAGGGUGCGAGCGUUAAUCGGAUUUACUGGGCGUAAAGCGUGCGUAGGCGGCUUUUUAAGUCGGAUGUGAAAUCCCUGAGCUUAACUUAGGAAUUGCAUUCGAUACUGGGAAGCUAGAGUAUGGGAGAGGAUGGUAGAAUUCCAGGUGUAGCGGUGAAAUGCGUAGAGAUCUGGAGGAAUACCGAUGGCGAAGGCAGCCAUCUGGCCUAAUACUGACGCUGAGGUACGAAAGCAUGGGGAGCAAACAGG